GGGGAAAGCUGAGAGUGAUUACUUAAUAAGUAUGGGGGUAUUUUAUGGGGUAAUGAAAAAGCUUUGAAACUAGAAAGUGCUGGCAGUUGUAUAACACUGUAAAUACACUAAGUACCACUAAAUUGUACUCUUUAAAAUAGUUAAUUGUAUGUUAUAUAACUUUCACCUCAAUUUUAAAAAGAUGUUUUAAUCAUUCAAAUUUUUUUCAUUCAAUUUUCAGGAUUGGCCUUAUGUUUUGUGUUUAAAUUUCAGUUCUGUAUUCAUUCCAGCCUUUUACCUAUUUGCAAUAUUUAAUCGUUUUUUAUACUUUAUUGAGGUAAAGUUCCCAUACAACAAAUUCACCCAUUUUAAGUUAUAUAUUUUGGUGAGUUUCACUACCACAAUCAUAUUUUAAAAAGCAUAAAAUGUUAUUUCAAGUUAUAGUCAACCUCCAACCCCACAUGUUUUCUGUCAUUAUAAUUAUGCCUUUUUUAGAGUUUCACAUGAAUGGAAUCAUAUAGGGUAUUUAGUUUGUUUUUAUGCUGCUAUGAAGAAAUACCCAAGACUAGGUAAUUUAUAAAGAAAACAGGUUUAAUUGACUCACAGUUCUGCAUGGCUGGGGAGGCUUCAGGAAACUUACAAUCAUAGUGGAAGGUAAAGAGGAAGCAGGGACCUUGGGCAGCAGGAGACAGAAUGAGUGCUGAGCAAAGGGAGAAAAACCCCUAAUAAAACCAUCAGAUCUCGUGAGAACUCUCUCACUAUCACAAGAACAGCAUGUGGGUAACUGCCCCCAUGAGUCAAUUACCUCUCAUGGGGUCCCUCCUAUGACAUGUGGGGAUUAUGGGAACUACAAUUCAAUUUGGGUGGGGACACAGCCAAACCAUGUCAUAUAGCAUACAGUCUUACAUGUCUGGCUUCUUUCACUUAGCACCAUGUUCAUCCAUGUCUGUCCACAUUGUUUUAUGUAUUCGUAGUUUGUUCCCUAAAAUUUCUGAAUAAUUGAUGACACUGAGUUCGUCCAUUUGCAUGUUAGGUCAUUAGAUUUUUCCCACUUUGUCUGCUAUUAUAAAUAAAGCUGUAUGAAUAUUCACAGACACGAUAUUCAUAUGGGCAAGUUUUCAUUUCUUUUCAGUAGGUGGAGAUAGGUAGAGCUGUUUAAUUUUAUGUUUAACUUUUUAAGAAACUUCCAAAUUUUUCCAAAAUGUCUGAAUCAUUUUUUAUUCCCAUCAGUAAUGUAUAAGGAUUCCAGUUGCUCCACAGUGGCCAACGCUCAGUGUUGGGAAUCUUUUUAAUGAUAGUCAUUAUAGUGAGAGUAUAAUGGUAUCUCUUUGUGGAUUUAAUUUGAAGUUCUCUAAUGACUAAUGAUGCUGAGCAUCUUUUCAUGUAUUUAUUAAUUAAAAACUUUGCAUAUCUUCUUCUGUGCAGGGUCUACUUGGAUCUUUUCUCCAUUUUAGUUUUUGCCUUGUUAAUCUUGAGUUUUAAGAGCACUUUUAAUAUUCAGAUACAAGGCCUUUGUAGAUUUAUGUUUUACAAAUAUUUUCUCCCAAUUUGUGGCUUGCCUCUUCAUUUAAUUCACAUUAUCUUUUGAUGAAAAAAAUAUUUAAUUUUGAUGAUGUCCAAUUUAUCAACUUUUUCUUUUACAGUUUUCACAUUGUGUUCUAAGAAAUAUUUGCUUAAGUCAAAUUCACAAAGAUUUUCUCCUUUUCUUUUAGAAAUUUUGGUGUAAUUUGCUUUUAUUUUUAGGACUAUGAUCCACUUGGAAUUAAUUUCUGUAUACUGUAUAAGGUAAGGGUUAAGAUUCAUAUUUUUUCCUUACAGAUAUUCAGUUACAUUUUUAAAAGACCAUCCUUUCUCCAUUGAAUUACUUUGACAACUAUGUCAAAAAACAGUUGAUCCCAUUAGUGUGGAUUUAGCCCUGAAUUCUCAAUUCUAUUCCAUUUCCUAUUGACACUUUUUAAAAAACUGAGUUUGAUCACACACUCCUGUUUCUUCGUAUAUCUAGUAAUCGUUGGUUAAACUGGGUGUUGCAUGCCACACAUUGUAGGGACCCUGGAUUCUAUUUUGUUCUUCUGAAAUUGUUGAUUUUCCUGUUUGAAUACAUUUGAUGAGUUUCCAUAGACUCAAACUGGAAAAUCUGUUUCUCUGCAGAAUGCUGAAAUUAUUACUCAGUUCUUUUUUCUUUUGCCUGGAUUUCUGGGGAUUUCUCUUGUGCCAACAUGGCUUUGUGAUCAGCCAAUGAUUUGGGCAGAGGUUAUACAUGGAUAACUCAAGCCAGUGAAUUUUCCAAUCUCUGCUGCUCAACUCGUGCACGCAUUGAAGAAUGGAUUCAAACUUGCAGCAAAAGCAUCUCCCUCAAGGACCCGAGAGCCAUUCCUAUGGAAUGUAAUCAUCAGGAAGGACAGAGCCUCUGCCUCCCAAUCUCUGGAAGCACAGAACUUUAACUUUGAGAACUGUCAGCCAGUGGGCACAGUCGGCCUAAUUGCAUCUACAGGGACCAAUGCUCUGCUUGGGCCUGCGACAUUGUCACCUGAGAAUGCCAUCUCCACAGGAAAGUGAUUGGAUCAUUUUGGGCUCCUUUUUUCACAGACCUUUCAGGCUGAUGCCAUCUACCUUUCAGCCCACUAAAGGUUCUCUAUGACUUAGCUUUUCAGAUGAGAAUCAAAUUCUAAAUUGGCGCAAUUCUAAGUCAGAGUGCAAUAAAAUCUUCCCACCACUCAGAAUCAGCUGAGCAAAACACAACACAGCAGAUUGGAAGAGGCCAUUCAAACCAGAGGCAGACAGAGGCUGCAGAGAGUGCUGCAUCUACGGCACACACCACUCAUGUCUCACCAGCCACUCAUCCUUCUAGCUCCUUCUGGCGUGGGGUCAAGCCAGGAGCACAGUGCUUGUUCUAGUCCAGUGCCAUCCAAUAGAAAGAGAAUGAAAGCAUAUAUAAUUUUCAAUUUUCUAUUAGCUACAUUAAAAAGAAUAAAAUGAAACAUGA
rnacentral:lncRNA from 1 species